UUUGACUUUAGUAACGGCGAGUGAAGCGGCAAAAGCUCAAAUUUGAAAUCUGGUACCUUCGGUGCCCGAGUUGUAAUUUGGAGAGGGCAACUUUGGGGCCGUUCCUUGUCUAUGUUCCUUGGAACAGGACGUCAUAGAGGGUGAGAAUCCCGUGUGGCGAGGAGUGCGGUUCUUUGUAAAGUGCCUUCGAAGAGUCGAGUUGUUUGGGAAUGCAGCUCUAAGUGGGUGGUAAAUUCCAUCUAAAGCUAAAUAUUGGCGAGAGACCGAUAGCGAACAAGUACAGUGAUGGAAAGAUGAAAAGAACUUUGAAAAGAGAGUGAAAAAGUACGUGAAAUUGUUGAAAGGGAAGGGCAUUUGAUCAGACAUGGUGUUUUGUGCCCUCUGCUCCUUGUGGGUAGGGGAAUCUCGCAUUUCACUGGGCCAGCAUCAGUUUUGGUGGCAGGAUAAAUCCAUAGGAAUGUAGCUUGCCUCGGUAAGUAUUAUAGCCUGUGGGAAUACUGCCAGCUGGGACUGAGGACUGCGACGUAAGUCAAGGAUGCUGGCAUAAUGGUUAUAUGCCGCCCGUCUUGAACCACACGAACACA
rnacentral:rRNA from 1 species